GAAACCUUAUGUAUGUAAUCAGUGCGGUAAAGCCUUUGCACGUCAGAGUCUUCUUCAAAUACAUGAAAGAAGUCACACUGGAGAGAAACCUUAUGCGUGUAAUCAGUGCAGUAAGGCCUUUGUAUGUCGUAGUAGUCUUCAAAUGCAUGAAAGAACUCAUACUGGAGAGAAACCUUAUGAAUGUAAUCAGUGUGGCAAAGCCUUCACACGUCGCAGUCUUCUCCAGAAACAUGAAAGAAGUCAUAGUGGAGAGAAACCUUAUGAGUGUAAUCAGUGUGGUAAAGCCUUUGCAAGUCGUAGUAGUCUUCGAAAUCAUGAAAAACAUCAUACUAUUGAGAAACCUAAUGAAUAUAAUCAGUGUGCUAAAGCGUUUACAUCUCUCCUGCCAUCUUCAAAUAUAUGAAAGAAACCACACUGGAAAGAA
rnacentral:lncRNA from 1 species